CCUACGGGAGGCUGCAGUGGGGAAUAUUGCACAAUGGGGGAAACCCUGAUGCAGCGACGCCGCGUGAGUGAAGAAGUAUUUCGGUAUGUAAAGCUCUAUCAGCAGGGAAGAAAAUGACGGUACCUGUUUAAGAAGCCCCGGCUAACUACGUGCCAGCAGCCGCGGUAAUACGGAGGGGGCAAGCGUUAUCCGGAUUUACUGGGUGUAAAGGGAGCGUAGACGGCAGCACAAGUCUGAAGUGAAAUGCCGGGGCUUAACCCCGGAACUGCUUUGGAAACUGUGCAGCUAGAGUGCAGGAGAGGUAAGUGGAAUUCCUAGUGUAGCGGUGAAAUGCGUAGAUAUUAGGAGGAACACCAGUGGCGAAGGCGGCUUACUGGACUGUAACUGACGUUGAGGCUCGAAAGCGUGGGGAGCAAACAGGAUUAGAUACCCCAGUAGUC
rnacentral:rRNA from 1 species